rnacentral:rRNA from 1 species
GAACGCUAGCGGGAUGCCUUACACAUGCAAGUCGAACGGCAGCGCGGACUUCGGUCUGGCGGCGAGUGGCGAACGGGUGAGUAAUGCAUCGGAACGUGCCCAGUCGUGGGGGAUAACGCAGCGAAAGCUGUGCUAAUACCGCAUACGAUCUGCGGAUGAAAGCGGGGGACCUUCGGGCCUCGCGCGAUUGGAGCGGCCGAUGUCAGAUUAGGUAGUUGGUGGGGUAAAGGCUCACCAAGCCAACGAUCUGUAGCUGGUCUGAGAGGACGACCAGCCACACUGGAACUGAGACACGGUCCAGACUCCUACGGGAGGCAGCAGUGGGGAAUUUUGGACAAUGGACGCAAGUCUGAUCCAGCCAUUCCGCGUGCAGGAUGAAGGCCCUCGGGUUGUAAACUGCUUUUGUACGGAACGAAAAGGUUUCUAUUAAUACUAGGAGCUCAUGACGGUACCGUAAGAAUAAGCACCGGCUAACUACGUG